ensembl:lncRNA
UCCCAAGAUGGCGUCUGGAUGACGGAGCAGGAGGAGGGACGCGUAGCGGCAGGCUGGCCGUCUCUGCAGGCUCCUGCUGUUCUCCAGCUGAGGUAUGACUCCUCUCAGUCUUCCGGCAUCAGGCUCCAUCCUCCCUACGAGUGCUGGUUGCAAACUAUAAAAUCCAAUCGGGCUGGUUUAAGCAAGCAGAAUUUAUUGAGACUUCUUAGUAGUUCUGACUCACUGGGAGAUCUGAAGAAAAAGACACUCAAGACUGGUCUCCUGGGAACGCAACCCAGAAGCGACCCGAUGAGAACGCUGCUGCCACCACCACUCUUUGCCACCACCUUCACUUGCAAAAUGGAUUAGCCCUGAGCUAACAUCUGCCGUCAAUCCUCCUCUUUUUUGCUGAAGAAGACCGGCCCCGAGCUAACAUCCAUGCCCAUCUUCCUCUACUUUACACGUGGGAUGCCUGCCACAGCAUGGCUUGAGAAGUGGUGCAUAAGUCUGCACCCGGGAUCUGAACCGGUGAACUCUGGGCAGCCAAAGUGGAAACUGCCAACUUAACCGCUGCACCACCAGGCUGGCCACGAGGAUUUUUUUUUUUUAAUGAACAAUUUUCUCAUAGGAGCCCCAGAAAGAUUCAGGCCUUAGAGACACUAAGUACCAUAGAAGAGACUAGAAGCUAUUCUCUGCAAAAGUUCCAGGCUCAGGGACAAGAGGCCUAGAGGAGGACAGGGCUGAGGUGCUGAGCUGAAAACAAGGAGAUUAAGUUAAAUUCUGCUUGAAUCUAUUGAUCGCUUGUCCUGCUGUUCCAGCCCACAGCAUGCUAUGAGGCUCCCAACAGUGUCCCGGACAGGUCGAGGAAAAUGGUGAGCCUUAUCCAUUUUCAGUUAAAGGAACGAGUGAAAUGGUGUCUGAGUUAUAUUUAGUUUUGUUUCCACCACAGAUGAGCUAGACAUCAUAGAAACACAAAACCAGAUUAUCAAGCACAAUAUCUGAUAGCUAAAACAAUUGCACUUUUAUUCCUAACUGAAGUUUAGAAUUUUACUGCAGAGAAGAUGGCUUUCCCAGUCUCCAAGUGUCCGCGAGCCUGACGCCACCUGCCAUCUGCUGGUCUUAAGCUGUAUAGCUCCAGAACAACUCCAGAGGCCAAGCGGGAACAAAGGGACCCCUCACCAACUUCGGAGGGGGAGAGGCUCCCACAGUGUCUGCUACAGGUUUUAGACGUGAGCAAGUCCAGACCACUCUUAAGAGGAAUGAGGAAAGCGAGGACUAUCCUAUUUUGAGCGUGGCAUCUCCUUAAGGAAGCAUGUCUCAGAUUCUACACCAGCCUGCAUGUUGCAAGAUUGCGUCCCACCCGAUGAUUUUCCUCGGGUUCCAGUCUUUGUUCACUGCUGGGGCUUUUUCAAUGGCUGCCAGGCAGCAGGGCCUGCGCUCCCAACCCCUGCCCACAGAGUCUCCGGGCGGCCAGCAGGGAGCGAGAAGGGAAAGAAGGCGGCGCCGCAAGCCCCGGCCGGCCCGGCAGCAUCACCCCAGCGCCCCAGCGAGGCCGCUUCCUCCUGGCUUUCCCUGCGCCUUCGGCACCCAGCAGCCCCCAGACGUCAGAUGGGGACUCGCUGGGCUCAUCUCCGCAGCUGACAGUGACCCCGACCAGAUGUUUCUCCGGAGGCCUUCGCCCCCUCCCGUUAGGCAGCAAUGGCACCAGGGCUGCAGCGAGGGGGCUGGGCGGCGGGCCACAGCUGGCAAGCAGCUUUUGUUCUGG